AUGCGCCCUGAUCAAUUUCAAGCCCCGAGCUUAAUGAGAAGGCUCCUUACUGUAUGUGUGAUGCGGGGCCCUCUGGGCCUCGGCUUCUCUGCCUAUAAAGUGGCAAUGAUGCCUCUGCCCCACAGGGUUGUGUCAUGUGUUGUGUGUGCCCAGGCUGUCCGACUCUUGGCAACCCCACGGACUGUAGCCCGCCAGGCUCCUCCAUGCACGGGAUUUUUCCACACAAGGAUAUUGAGCUGGGUUGCCGUUUCCUCCUCCAGGGGAUCUUUCGGAUCCAGGAAUCGAACCCACGUCUCCUGCAGCUCCUGCACUGAAGGGACAUUCUUUACCCACCGAGCCAUUUGGAGGCGCCCCUGUGAGGUUGUGGUAGGGGCUGAAUGAAACACUAAGUUACGUUCCUGGAAGGGAGCCUGACAGAGGUGGGUGGCUCUUUGCAGUCACUCGAAAGCCUGUCGCCCUCUGUCAGAGAUGACCUCCCAGGCUUCCUUGUUCUCAUUGUCGGAAAGCUCUACAAACUGCCCGGCAGCACGAUGCAACCCGUCCAUCUCUGCCCGAACAGAUAGGCCUCUGACUCCAAGAACCAACAGGUGCUUCUCUCUGCUCCCUGCCCGGCGUUUCAGCCAUUCCUCAUGCUGUCCUCCUUAGAUCCAUCCCAGUAGAAAUAGUCUGUGGGCCAGGCAUCAUUUCACAUGGAUCACCUCAUUCUCUCCAAACCACAUCAAUCUGAGGAAAGACUCUCAUUCCGCUUUUACAGAUGGAGAAACAGAGGCUUGGAGAGGAAAAGCUAGAUUCUUCCCCCUGUCUCAGGGCCUGGCCAUCUUAGGUCCGAAACCUUGAGCCAGGUCCUGCCUGGAUGCUGUGAUGUCCACACCGACCUCAGGAUGAGCAAGGACCCUGCAGCUGCAGGGUGUGUGGGCUGUUGCCAGGGAGGUCCUGGGAGUUCCAGGAGCAAGACAGGGCAGGACAGGCCGUCUUCAUCCCGUGGGGACCCUCCUGUCUCCUCCACUGGCUUGCUUGGCUCCCAUUAAGAGAUGAGCUGGGUAAAUUCCCACACAACCCACCUCCGAUUUCUGGUUUGCAAACAGCUUUUCACUUGCCAGGGAAAGCGCUCAGAGGAAGCAGGUCCUCUGAGGCCUUGUGGUCCUGUUCCUGCUGAAACAGACACCCCAGUCAUGGGGCCGCCUCGCGGGAGGUGACUGCCAGCAAGGAGUGAGUCAAAGCCCUUUUUCCCAGAGGCCUGCCUCUUCCAGGGCCAUGAAAAGGAGGAAUGCGUCUGAACUCAUCCCAGACCCUGAUGACAGGACCGGCUCCCUAAUUGUCCUGAAUGCAAGUUUGAAAUGACUCGCCGCAGAAGUCACCGUGUCAGCCUCGGUGACUUCCCGACGGCUGUUUCGUAACUGCAGAGUCUUCAGCCAGCCAGAGGCUUCCUUGGCCCACACCUUCCAGCACAGCUCAGAUGAGAGGCGUCACCUCUGUGUCCAGCAACUGGGGAUUGACUGCUUAAGUCACGACAUGUUCAUGAGAAGUCAUACUCAGGCAAUCCUGAGGAUAACACACGCACCUUUAUUGGCACGCAGGAGGUCCUCCAGUUAUCACUGAAGGGAAAAAGCACCACUACAAAACACUAUAAAACCAUAUCAUUUGUAUGUGGGAUCAAAAACUAAAACUAGUGAAUAUCACAAAAAAUAAACAGAUUCACAGAUACAGAGAAUACACUAGUGGCUACCAGUGGGGGAGAGAGCAGAGGGGAGGGACGAGCGUGGGUAGGGGAGCCACAGGUAUCCUGCUAUGUAUAUAAGGAUACAUUGGACAGCCAGGGGAUAUAGCCAAUAUUGUGUAGGAACCAUAAACUUUAAAAAUUGUGAAUCACUAUGCUGUACCUCUGUAACUUAUGUAAUACUGUACAUCAACUAUGCUUCAAUUAAAAAUGAAUANNNCAUAAAAUCCCACUUUUAAAGCAUUCAUCUUUGAUCCGUGGCUCUGUCCACGUGUUUACACACAGGGAAAAAUUCUGUAAGGACAUCCCAAAGGUCAGCUGACGGUUUUUGUUCUUUUACACACCUUUCAGUGUUUUCUGAAUAAUAACAUAUACGGAUAAAGAACUAAAGAAUCUCUUGAUGAAAGUGAAAGAGGAGAGUGAAAAAGU
ensembl:lncRNA